rnacentral:rRNA from 1 species
UACGAAGGGGGCUAGCGUUGCUCGGAAUCACUGGGCGUAAAGCGCACGUAGGCGGAUUUUUAAGUCAGGGGUGAAAUCCUGGAGCUCAACUCCAGAACUGCCUUUGAUACUGGGAAUCUCGAGUCCGGGAGAGGUGAGUGGAACUUCGAGUGUAGAGGUGAAAUUCGUAGAUAUUCGCAAGAACACCAGUGGCGAAGGCGGCUCACUGGCCCGGUACUGACGCUGAGGUGCGAAAGCGUGGGGAGCAAACAGG